UACGUAGGGGCCUAGCGUUGUCCGGAUUUAUUGGGCGUAAAGAGCUCGUAGGCGGUUUGGUGAGUCGGGUGUGAAAUCUCCACGCUCAACGUGGAGGGGCCACCCGAUACUGCCAUGACUAGAGUCCGGUAGGGGAGUGUGGAAUUCCUGGUGUAGCGGUGGAAUGCGCAGAUAUCAGGAAGAACACCCGUGGCGAAGGCGGCUCUCUGGAACGCAACUGACGCUGAGACGCGAAAGCGUGGGGAGCAAACAGG
rnacentral:rRNA from 1 species